GCGCCGCUAGCUCAGCUGGAUAGAGCGUCUGACUACGGAUCAGAAGGUCAGGGAUUCGAAUUCUCUGCGGCGCG
rnacentral:tRNA from 2 species